rnacentral:rRNA from 1 species
UAGGGAAUAUUGGGCAAUGGAAGCAAUUCUGACCCAGCCAUGCCGCGUGAAGGAAUACAGCCCUAUGGGUUUUAAACUUCUUUUAUUAUAGAGUAAACGGAGGUACGUGUACCUCCCUGCAAGUAUAUGAUGAAUAAGGAUCGGCUGACUCCGUGCCAGCAGCCGCGGUAAUACGGAGGAUACAAGCGUUAUCCGGAUUUAUUGGGUUUAAAGGGUGCGCAGGCGGAUCAAUAAGUCAGGGGUGAAAAAUUUCAGCUUAACUGGAAUCGUGCAUUGGAUACGGUUGGACUAGAGUAUAAUUGACGUGACUGGAAUGUGAUGUGUAGCGGUGAAAUGCUUAGAUAUGUCACAGAACGCCAAUCGUGAAGACAGGUCACGAAAUUAUUACUGACGCUCAUGCACGAAAGCGUGGGGAUCAAACA